UACGUAGGGUGCGAGCGUUAAUCGGAAUUACUGGGCGUAAAGCGUGCGCAGGCGGUUUUGUAAGUCUGACGUGAAAUCCCCGGGCUUAACCUGGGAAUUGCGUUGGAGACUGCAAGGCUGGAGUCUGGCAGAGGGGGGUAGAAUUCCACGUGUAGCAGUGAAAUGCGUAGAGAUGUGGAGGAACACCGAUGGCGAAGGCAGUCCCCUGGGUCAAGACUGACGCUCAUGCACGAAAGCGUGGGGAGCAAACGGG
rnacentral:rRNA from 1 species